UAGAAAAGCAUGGGGAUAAAGCUGGUAAAUAUUGCAGUAGAUACUGCAGUAACAGGAGCUGCAGUGUAGAGGGGCAUCCAGUACCAUCACUGCAGAACAAGCAUAAACUGAGAAAUGGAGCUUCUGAACAGUGACCAAGACUCUGCUCAGCUACUGGGCAGCUGCAAAAAGGAAGGGUCAUACAGGAAGCAUCAUAUAUGGACUUGUGUGCAGAGUGGGGUCCCUGCUGAUUACACUGAGUAAUAAAGUGACAUGGAUUCAUACCAGGGAUGAGCUUUCUGUAAGACUGCACAGAAGAGUCUGUCCUGCAGCUUCUUCACAGAAACCAGAGGACUAUGUCCAGACCUCCAAGACCUCCAAGAAGGGAGACACCACAACCUCUCUGGGCAACUUGUGCCAGUGUUCUAUCACCUGAACAGUAUUUAUGAUGACAUCCUCCCUGAAUCUUCUCUUUGAAAAGUUCCAUCUCUCUCAGACUUUCCUAAUGGGAGAAGUGCUCCAGUUCCUUAAUCAUCUUUGUGGCCCAACAUUGGAUUCUCUCCAACAUGUCUGUGCCUCUCUUGUACUGAGGGGCCCAGAACAGGACACAGCACUCCAGGUGUGGCCUCAACAAUGCUGAGUACAGUGGAAGGAUCACCUCUCUUGACCUGUUUGCAAUACUUUGCCUAAUGCAGCCAAGAAAGGCAAAAACGAAGAACUGUAAUGCACUAGGGCUAUAAACAUGCUGGUGACUGUUACGUUAGAUACGUGGCACAGUCUGGUGUCUUAAAGAUAGAUUCCUAUCACUAAUUGUAAGGUGAGGCCAUACAAAUCCUUUAAUUAACAACAAAAUACAUGGUUUGUCGGAAUCACAGCCUGAGGUUAUGAGGAGUGUUUUCUUACAAAUGAUAUACAUUUCACCCUUUCAAGAACCACAGGUGUGUCCUAUGAAAGUGGGUACCUUAUUUUACAGGAUACCUUUGGACUAUAUUCAAUCCCAUAAUGCUAGGCUUAAGGAUUUUUUCUUUUAUUUAUUGAAAAUAUAAUAAUAUUUGAGAGUCUUGCUAAUUUUUACUUUUUAAUAAUUUUCAAGUACUUUUUUUUCAGCAUAAAUAUUCCAGAUGGUUCUAUUUCUAUUAAUUGAAAUGGAAGGUGAGAUUUGGCAAAUUAUAGCAGAUUUAAUGUUUAAAUAUUUGUUUAAAAUGUAGACUUGCUGUUUGAUUCUGUGAUGAUCUGUCUAUAUUUCCUGGGAAUGUUCCUCUCAUUGUUUCACAAUGCGAUGUGAAAAAACAUUCCUCCAUAAUUACAAAAAUGAUAUGAGAACUGCAUUCCUCUGUUGUAGUGAUAUAUCUUUUCUCCAAAAUGGCUGCCUACUCUUGUGAGAAUUUGAAAAUAUUUUGGUUCAAGGUUAUUAUUCAGUAUUUCUAGGUCAUACUUUCCUGUAAUGAAAACGGAGUGGAGGAGGCCUUGAGACUAUUUCCAGAAAAAAUUGCCUUCAAGCAACAUCUACCAAAUGUUGAGCAUUUGUUCUAUAUGUAAUUAGUAGGAGGGGGGGGGAGAAGAAAAGUGGCAUUUUUCUUUGAGUGUGGAUUAUUUACAGACAUUCUGUUUCCUAAUUCCAGGGUCCUGUGGUAGCUCUUUUUUCCCAUUACCCCACAGCUAUUCAUUAGCUGAUGUGCCAAUGUCUGUCACAAUUUAUCCUGUGGGACAAAGGCGUCUUAAUAUUUUAGCAAAAAUACAGCGAUGUAAUUAUCUGUAAUAAUUUAGUAUGUAUUUCAUCCAUGUGGAAGCUAUCCAAUCAGUCAAAGAAAAGAAAAAAAAAAACCCAAACCUAAAUAUUUCACAUCAAACUUUGAGCCUUCUGCAAUCUGCUUUUUGUCAUCUGUGGCUUCUCAGAAAUUACUCUUUAGGUAUUUUCUUCCACUAAUAUUUGGAACAUCAAAACCAUCUUAUAUUGUUGGGGAUAUGAACGAGUGACUCCUUGGAAAUUUGUGAAAUUCAUCUGUAUAGGUCCUAUAUGAAUGUUGUGGGCCUUGUUAAUAUUUUCUUCCUAUAUUCAGAAAGAACAUAUGCAACUAUUAAUUAAAAGUCUUAAAGAUAAGAUGAUUAAUUAUGCUGGUUGUAUUUUUCCUUGUCUCUGAUAAAGCAAUCAUUCAAGAAUUGAUUUUCAUGUACUUUAAUUUCUUGUUAUUUUCCACUUUUAGCACUUUACUGUGAGACUUUCUUGAAAUGGGAGUGAGGAAAAGAAUUAAAAUAUUCUUCACCACAUGGAAAGCCAAAAGUACAAUGGUUUGUUUCAGCUGAAGCUGACUUCCAUGGGUUUUGAAAGAUCUGGAUCAGGUCUGCGCUGAACAUUAGUGAUAGCUUAUUCACACAUUUAUGUCUGCCAUCUGCUUGUGGUUUACCUAGACUCUAAAACUGUUGUGGUUUAACCCAGCGGCAGCUAAACAGCACACAGCCGUUCACUUACCCUCCCCCCUCCCUCUCUGGGAUGGGAGAGAGAAAUGGGAAAGUGAAGCCUGUGAGUUGAGAUAAAGACAGUUUAUAAGACAGGAAAUAAUAAUAACAAUAAUAAUAAUAAUAAUAGUGAUAAUAGUAUU